rnacentral:rRNA from 1 species
AGUGAACGCUGGCGGUAGGCCUAACACAUGCAAGUCGAACGGCAGCACAGUAAGAGCUUGCUCUUACGGGUGGCGAGUGGCGGACGGGUGAGGAAUACAUCGGAAUCUACUUUUUCGUGGGGGAUAACGUAGGGAAACUUACGCUAAUACCGCAUACGACCUACGGGUGAAAGCAGGGGAUCUUCGGACCUUGCGCGAUUGAAUGAGCCGAUGUCGGAUUAGCUAGUUGGCGGGGUAAAGGCCCACCAAGGCGACGAUCCGUAGCUGGUCUGAGAGGAUGAUCAGCCACACUGGAACUGAGACACGGUCCAGACUACUACGGGAGGCAGCAGUGGGGAAUAUUGGACAACGGGCGCAAGCCUGAUCCAGCCAUACCGCGUGGGUGAAGAAGGCCUUCGGGUUGUAAAGCCCUUUUGUUGGGAAAGAAAAGCAGCAGGUUAAUACCCCGCUGUUCUGACGGUACCCAAAGAAUAAGCACCGGCUAACUUCGUG